rnacentral:precursor_RNA from 1 species
AUUGGAGCUUCCCGUGAAUUGGAGGGUUUUCAGACCGAGAGAACAGAGAUAGCGGGUAAUCAUUUUUUGCGAGGUUUUUGGGGGAGCGGAGCGUGCAGGAAAUCUGCCCAGAGCUUUUAGAGCGUUUUUUGGUCGCAGUUAAGGGUUCCGUUUUCAGAAAACAAAGACCGUUUCGGAAUUGGGGUUUUUUCUAGUGCCUUUUCACCGAUUUUGCCAACUUUUGCCCAGAAGGGAGCCAGUUUAAGUUUUUGCGCCAAAGGAGGGGAGGUUUUGAAGGGAAAAGGUUUAUUUGACUUGUUGUAUUAAAUAG